GGGCGAGCGCGGGUUGGGGUUGGGGCUGUCGGGCAGCCAAUGGGAGCGUUACUCCUUCAUCCUUCGAGGAGGGGGCCGGCAGGUGUGGUUGCAAGCUGGACUAGCAGCCCAGCGGGGCGAGACGGGGGAGUAGGAAUCGCGGAAUUUCUCAGUUUCUAGCAGAAUAAAAGAUGGUAUCUAAGCAAGAUUCUUAUUGUUCCCACUACAUAACUAGCCACUGGAGGCCUUCAGAGGGAUGCUUCCAGUAGGGAAAUGAGAACCAAAAGAUGAAAAGGAGGCCAUGUCUUUUGCCUUUCCUCCUUUUAUUCCUCAAGGCUACAAGACUGCUUUUGGUGUUGGCACCAACAAAAUUCUUAAGCAGGACAGUAGGUGGGAACUACCAGAUGGAGUCUCGCUCUAUGGCCCAGGCUGGAGUGCAGUGGCGUGAUCUCGGCUCACCGCAACCUCUGCCUUCCGGUUCAAGCGAUUCUCCUGCCUCA
rnacentral:sRNA from 1 species